UAAGACGAACCGUGCGAACGUUAUUCGGAAUCACUGGGCUUAAAGCGCGUGUAGGCGGGUUGCCACGUCGGAUGUUGAAAUCCCCCGGCUCAACCGGGGAACAGGCACCGAUACGAGCAGCCUGGAGGGGAGUAGGGGGACCUGGAACUUCCGGUGGAGCGGUGAAAUGCGUUGAGAUCGGAAGGAACGCCCGUGGCGAAAGCGAGGUCCUGGGCUCUUACUGACGCUGAGACGCGAAAGCCAGGGGAGCAAACGGGAUUAGAUACCCCGGUAGUCCUGGCUGUAAACGAUGGGCACUGAGUAGGGGGCUCGCCGAUGGGCUCCCUGCUGUAGGGAAACCGUGAAGUGCCCCGCCUGGGGAGUAUGGUCGCAAGGCUG
rnacentral:rRNA from 1 species